rnacentral:rRNA from 1 species
AGGACGAACGCUGGCGGCGUGCUUAACACAUGCAAGUCACGGGGGCCCGCAAGGGCAACCGGCGAACGGGUGCGUAACACGUGAGCAAUCUGCCGAUCUCUGGGGGAUAGCCAGCCUAACGGCUGGGUAAUACCGCAUACGCUCGUUGGGGGGAGUCCCCUGAUGAGGAAACCUCCGGGGGAGAUCGAGGAGCUCGCGACCUAUCAGCUAGUUGGCGGGGUAACGGCCCACCAAGGCAGCGACGGGUAGCUGGUCUGAGAGGAUGGCCAGCCACAUUGGGACUGCGACACGGCCCAGACUCCUACGGGAGGCAGCAGUGGGGAAUAUUGCGCAAUGGACGAAAGUCUGACGCAGCGACGCCGCGUGUGGGAUGAAGCCUUUCGGGGUGUAAACCACUGUUGCCCGGGACGAAACUCCUCUUUCGAGAGGAUUGACGGUACCGGGUGAGGAAGCACCGGCUAACUCUGCGCCAGCAGCCGCGGU